rnacentral:lncRNA from 1 species
UCCCUUAUUCAUUUCUUUUAAUAUAGUUUUUCUAUAUUUUCCAUUUGUUAAAACUAGUCCACAAGCUCUCCUCACUCAAAAAAAAUAAUUUGUUUAAAAAAAGAAGUAUAGGGACUAGUUUUAACAAAUGGAACACAUAAAAAAAUUACAUUAAAAGAAAUGGAGAAGGGAGGAAAGUAGAAGAAGAAGUAGAAGAGAAUGAA